rnacentral:misc_RNA from 1 species
AAGUCGUAACAAGGUUUCCGUAGGUGAACCUGCGGAAGGAUCAUUAAUGAAUAAUCCGUUAUGCGGGUUUUUUCAACUCGUAUCCACCCCACAAUUUUGUGCUUGGGGCUUUUGGAAUCUGGUCAGAAUUUUUUUGGCUAGUGGAAGAAGGCUCCAAGAACAAACUUUGACUGUAUAAACUAUAGCCUGAACCUAUUGUGUUUAAAAAUAAAACCAAUACAACUUUCAACAACGGAUCUCUUGGCUCCU